CUUCUGUCGAUCUGUUAGUACAGUGCGAAGUCCAGUCUGUCCCCAGUCAUUCCCCCUUUUCUAUCCCUGCACCCCAGGCUUUUCCGGGGUUCAUGGUGAGACGCGGGUCCGGCCGGGGAGGCUGGGCGGGAACAGGUGACUGUGUACGGCCGUGUUCCGCGACCCCCGAGCGGGCUGGAGGAGGUCCUUGUCCCUGUCCUUGGUCCCAGCGCGGGCGGCAGGAGGUCCCUGGAGAGACAUCCUGGGGCCGGGCACGGAGGGAACCGAGUGUUGGCAUCGGGACUGGCACGGGGUGCUUCUGCGUGCCCUCCGGGGCCCCUUCACCCUCGGUGUUGACCCUAAUUGAGUUUCUGAAUUCCAGAGUUGUCGCCAUUUGUUUUCCUUCUGCUGAGGACUUAUUUUUCUGUGUUCCUCGGUACCCCGAGGUGUAAAAUGCGGAAGACCGUAGAGGAUAUCAAGCUCCACGGGCCUGUUUUCUUCUUUCAGCUUGCAGGUUUGAUGUGCCCUCAUAAACGUUUGUGGCUCAUCUGUUCACCCCCACCUCAAACCCGCUGCUCCCCCUGAGGUGGUAGCGAUUCUAGAGUGUUCGAAGCCUAGUGAGUGAAGAAGAGGAAGAAGGUUACAUACACCUCACCCUUUCCUUUCAGCUUUUGGAAUUUCUGAGGGACUUUUAGAUGCGCGAUUUCGGAAAUUAGGUGGAGUUUUCAGCGGUGGGAAGUUACUCUGCCUGACUUGGAGGGGGAUAACGGAAACCAAUCUUACUGAACACCUACGACAGAAAGGACAGCCCUGCAAAGCAGAUCCUGUUUGGGUCAAGUAAGCCAGUUCCGUAUAACGGCGGCUCAGUGAAACCUGUAGGCAAAGGAUACUACAGGUUUGUCUCCCCAAGCUCCCCAGGAGAUGGAAGGUAUAGUGAUAGGGAAGGUGGAGGAAGAAGACAAAGAUGAAGAAGACCAUUUUCAGAGAGAAAAAAAUAGCCUGGAGUUAUCACCAUAAUUUUUUAGUCGUUCUACAACUAUGAAUGAGAGAGCCUUGCUGUCAUCGUAUUUAGUUGCGUAUCACGUGGCAAAAGAGAAAAUGGCUCACACAACUGCUGAAAAAAUUAUUCUUCCAGCAUGUAUGGAUAUGGAGUGUACCAUUUUUGAUGAUAAAUCAGCUGACAAAUUAAGAACUAUACCUCUUAGUGAUAAUACAAUAUCUUGUCGGAUCUGCACUAUUGCAAAACAUUUAGAAGCAAUGCUUAUUACAUGGUUACAGUCUGGUAUAGAUUUUGCACUUCAACUUGAUGAAAGCACUGAUAUUGCCAGUUGUCUGACACUCUUGGUUUAUGUCAGAUAUGUGUGGCAAGAUGAUUUUAUAGAGGAUUUGUUGUGUUGUUUAAAUUUAAAUUCACAUAUAACUGGCUUAGAUUUAUUUACUGAAUUAGAAAAGUGUAUUAUGGGUCAAUAUAAAUUAAACUGGAAAAAUUGCCAAGGAAUUUCAAGUGAUGGAGCAGCAAAUAUGACUGGAAAACAUAGCAGAGUUAUUGAAAAAUUGCUAGAAGCAACUCAUAACAGUGCUCCUUGUAAUCACUGUUUUAUUCAUGGUGAAGCUUUGGUAUCCAAAGAAAUUCCACCAAGUCUGAUAGAUGUAUUGAAAAAUGCAGUGAAAAUUGUUAAUUUUAUCAAAGGAAGCUCAUUGAAUAGCUGACUUCUUGAAAUAUUUUGUUCAGAGAUUGGAGCUAACCAUACUCACUUAUUAUUUCACACAGAAAUUCAUUGGUUGUCUUGGGGAAAAGUAUUAAGCCGAGUAUAUGAGCUCAGGAAUGAGAUUUACAUUUUUCUCAUUGAAAAACAAUCUCAUUUGGCAAAUAUCCUUGAAGAUGAUAUCUGGGUAACAAAAUUGGUAUAUUUAAGUGAUAUUUUUGCAAUCCUUAAUGAAUUAAAUUUGAAGCUACAGGGGAACAACAAUGAUACAUUUCAACACCUUGAGCAUAUUCUGGGAUUCCAAAAGACUUUAUUGUUGUGGCAUACAAGACUUAAGAGUAAUCGUCCUAGCUACUAUAUGUUCCCAUCAUUGUUACAACACACUGAAGAGAACAUUAUUAAUGAAGACUGCUUAAAAGAAAUAAAAUUAGAGAUACUGUUGCAUCUCACUUCUUCGCGUCAAACCUUCAAUCAUUACUUUCCAGAAGAGAAAUUUGAGUCAUUAAAGAAAAACAUUUGGAUAAAAGAUCCAUUUGCUUUUCAAAACCCAGAAUCAAUAAUGGAGUUAAACUUGCUACCCGAGGAAGAGAAUGAAUUAUUGCAGCUCAGCUCAUCAUUCACACUGAAGAAUUAUUAUAAGACAUUGACUUUAUCCACCUUUUGGAUUCAGAUUAAAGAUGAGUUUCCAUUGCUGAGUAGAAAGAGUAUAUUGCUGUUAUUACCAUUCACAAGUACCUAUUUAUGCGAACUAGGAUUUUCCAUCUUGACACGAUUGAAGAUGAAGAAAAGAAAUAGGCUCAAUAGUGCACCAGAUACGCGUGUAGCAUUAUCUUCAUGUGUCCCUGACUGGAAUGAACUUAUGAACAGGCAAGCACACCCAUCACAUUAAAUAAAAUCUCUACAAAAUUUUGUUUUUUA